rnacentral:rRNA from 1 species
GAUGAAUGCUGGCGGCGUGCCUAACACGUGCAAGUCGAGCGGCAGCGCGGGGUGCUUGCACCCUGUCGGCGAGCGGCGAACGGCUGAGUAACGCGUAGGAAUUUGCCCCAAAGUGAGGAAUAACUGCCCGAAAGGGUAGCUAAUGCCGCAUAUGGUCUUCGGAUUAAAGGAUUUAUCCGCUUUGGGAGAAGCCUGCGUUGGAUUAGGUUGUUGGUAGGGUAAUGGCCUACCAAGCCGACGAUCCAUAGCUGGUCUGAGAGGAUGAUCAGCCAGACUGGAACUGAGACACGGUCCAGACUCCUACGGGAAGCAGCAGUGAGGAAUCUUCCACAAUGGGCGAAAGCCUGAUGGAGCAACGCCGCGUGAAGGAUGAAGGCCUUCGGGUUGUAAACUUCUUUUAUGAGUGAAGAAUAUGACGGUAACUCGUGAAUAAGCACCGGCUAACUACGUG